rnacentral:SRP_RNA from 1 species
GUGCUAGGUGGGGAGCUAGCGGUGCCCUGUAUCUGCAAUCCGCUACAGCAGAGCUGAAGGCUAUCUUAGGUCUGAGCUAUGCAAGGUCCGCCUCGGAUAAGUGACGUUGAUAACAAGGUCUUGUGCAAUCGCGCCCUGUGAACCAUGUCAGGGCUUGACCGCAGCAGCAUUAAGCAGAUCGCGUGAUGUGCCACGAGGUAGCUUUGAGGGAGUCAACUGUCCGGGUCACGCUUGGGUAGUUCUUAUCGACGAUAGAUGCA